UACGUAGGGGGCGAGCGUUGUCCGGAAUUAUUGGGCGUAAAGGGCGCGUAGGCGGGUACUUAAGUCCGGUGUGAAAGAUCAGGGCUCAACCCUGAGAGUGCAUCGGAAACUGGGUAUCUUGAGGACAGGAGAGGAAAGUGGAAUUCCACGUGUAGCGGUGAAAUGCGUAGAUAUGUGGAGGAACACCAGUGGCGAAGGCGACUUUCUGGACUGUAACUGACGCUGAGGCGCGAAAGCGUGGGGAG
rnacentral:rRNA from 1 species